rnacentral:lncRNA from 1 species
UUUUGCCCAAGAAAUCCACCAACACAACGUCUAGGGUGCGUGCACAUUCUUGGGCGUUGAGCGCAUUCACAAGACCCGCGAUAGUUGGACACGACGACGGGCGACGGCUUCGAGCGUGCUCAGCGUUGAGCACGGUGGCUUAGGGUUUGCCUAGGUCCACCUUGUCACCUCUUGUUGAGCUUGUUGAAGGUAUUUAUGUUUUUUAUUGAGGGCGAUAUGCUCCUCUGCCCUUCAAUAGCAGCUUACAGCAAAUAAGUUUUCUGAUUCUGCAAGGGGGAAAUAUAGUUGACCUCUUUGCGCAUAGUGAAUAGGAAUCGGAUAAUGAUAUAAUUUUGCUCCCAUACCAGUUACCACAGAUCGAAGUAGGUACCCUUCCUUUUGUAGUACAUGAACAUUGGACUGGUGUAUGUUUCGAAUAGUAUCAUAUAUCAGAAUAAAUUACUCAUUUCGAUCGAUAUUCUGGAACAGAAGAAUCAGUUAAUAAAUCACUCUGAACAAAAGUAACAGGGGCUCCGUAAUUUAUGGUCAUGAUGUCCCUCCUUAGUGUUGGUCACGUACUAGUGUGAGUGGCAAGCUAGUGCGGUGUUUGCCCCCUUAGCUAUUUUGAAUAGCAAGAGAAUUUGUCCUCAUAAAUCCCAUCCAUUUUCCUGGUCACCAAAUCAUCCCUCAGGGUUAUAUGAGUCAUCUAGACUUCUCUUCUUGACAUAAUGAUGGACAACUCUUAUGUGUGUUCAGAAAAGAAAAAAAACAAAACUAACAGGGUGGGCAAAUCUUUUUAUAACAGCUAGAAGAUGAUAUUCCGUGCACUAGGAUGGAUGGAUAAAAAAAAGAAAUUGCAGCCUAAUUCCUCAUACCACACCCAAAUCGGGCAUGCGAAGAAAUGCCAACAAAUACUAUAUUAAGCAAGAAUGAAACCCUAAAAAGAGUCGAGCAUGAUGGAGGGAUGUAGCCUUGAGGGCUGCUCAGCUCAUGAUGUUUUCUUAAUUUCUUCACUCACACGAAUUGGGGAUCUGUAUAGGUUACUCAAGAACGACGGCCGUCUCGACACCAUAGCCGACUUGUGGAUAGCCAUGGAGGCCGCGACUGACGGGAACUGAUUUGAUUGCAUGGAGCAACAGAAACCGUUGCCUCGCCGGUUGAGCAUUAGCGUCGAGCCGUCCUUGGCGACGAGGGAGCACAUUCCUGCGCAGCCACAAGAUCUUAAUUUUGUUCGGUAUAACAGUUUUGUGUACAAUAUUAUUCGACAUCUAGAGUGUGUGCGCGUGUGUAUGUGGAGCAUUUUCAUUUCGGUGUGGUGGAUUUACAUACCAAUGCCUC